rnacentral:lncRNA from 1 species
GUAAGUUAUCUUUCAAUUUCCCUAUCAGGGUGCUACAAGUUGGAUUAUAAUGAUUUAUUUUUUCCUUGAAACAGAAGUGUUUUAAUCCUUUCUCCUGAAGACUUUCCAACUGACCUUGACAGUAUAAGAUGGCCCAAAAUUUGACCUCAACUGAGCAGGAGAUAAUGGAGCUCUUAAUGAUAUUACAAGAGUUCUCCGUGAAAAAGAUAGACAAACUGGAUGUCCAGGAAGUAAAAAGGCUCUUUAGAGAGGAACUUCCAAAUUUUCUAAAG